rnacentral:lncRNA from 1 species
AGACCUUUUCUUUGCCGGCCUUGACUUCAUCCUCAUUGAGCUUGAAAUCCCCCCGAGUGUAGUAUUUGCUUGUCACCUUAGAAAUGGAACCACCAUCAGGUCCCUUCUCAAACUUGAUCUCAUAUGUUAUUUUCUCAAGCUCGUCAAUCAAUGCAUCCCCUUCGACCAAUGUGUAGCUGUAUGUUAAUGCAUCAUCAUUCAGUUCAUCGAUGCGAUACUUGAUAGAUUUGAAGUUGCUACCUGCAUAGGAAGAACUAUUAGCCUAUUCUUUCCUUCAUGAUUCAACAUGUUUUCGCUUUUUCUCUUUCUUAACAUUUGGUUGAAUGAAUCUAAACUGUUGAUGUCUUUGCAAAAAGUUGAUGACCUUACCUUCUGCAAAAGUAAUCUGCUUUAUGCUCCCAGCACCUCCAUCACCCUCAAUGAUAUCCAUGCUUUUGAUUACUUGUGGUAGGAGUUUUGGAAUCAAGGUAUGGGAGUCAACAAUUGAAGCCUUGAAAAUUCUUGAUGGGGCAACAGGCGAAGUGUGUUCAUCGGUGUAAGAUGUCACCCCC